GAAACCACCCCCAUUACUCAAUUAUCUCCCACUGGUACCCUCCCACAACACAUGGGAAUUAUCAGAGUACAAUUCAAGAUGAGAUUGCAGUGGGGACACAGAGCCAAACCAUAUCAGCUAUUAUGUCAGUUAUUGUAGAUCACAGAAAUAACCAAAUUCCCAUGUCAAUUGUGUCUUUAUGACUGUCUAAAGUCAUUUCCACAGUUAAUUGCUUAAUUCUGAUGCAGCUUCUGAAAACUUCGCAAGCACUCAAAAUCCUAGAAUAUAAUAUCUUUUAGGAAGUUUAUGAAAGGAUGGAAAGGACCCUGAAAAGCACUCUUGAAUACAGGUAAGAAUUCCUAGAACUUUAAUGAAAAGACUGAUUGGUUUAUAAAACUACUAACCCAAGUAGAACAAAAAUUAAUUGAAUACCAAGAAAAUACUUUGCCAGAUUUUCAUGCUCAAUCAACCAAUACUGAAAUUGUUUAGAUAUACAAUUUGAAUGAACUCCAUGGUCUAAGUCAAGUUACCUAUGAUAACCCAUUAGUUCUCAGUGCUAUGCACCUAAAUUGGAUAAACAACUGGUAUUCAAGAGAACAUAAGUUCAACAUUAAGCAUGGACUCAUGGAGAACCAGGAGGGCUGCCUUGUCCUUUCUGAGUCCUCAAAACUUUUAUUACUAAAAGUUCUGCAUUUUGUGACUCAUCAUGGAAAAGAUAAAAUGAUCCAAAUUAAAUAUAUAUUGGUGUGGUGAUUUCUAAAUUGCUAAAAUAGUUUAUGACCAAUGUUUGGUUUAUUAAACCCAUAUUCCUUGGAAGACAAAGCUUUAGGUACAUUUGGCAACUUGAUGGGCCAUUCAGACAUUUAUAGAGGGAUUUUAUUCAGUUGUCAUUUUCAAUGCAUGUUUUCUGGUUGUAUAACAGCUUUCCCAUGCAAGAGGGAUGACAUUAUAACAGUAGAUUAUUAUACCACCAUGUAUUUUCACCAGGUAAAGAAAGCAUUUCAUGGUUCACUUACUGAGGACCAUCAACCCCUUCAUAAUUUAGAACCUGAAGAUCAGAUCUUCUGAGAACAUCAGAGAAAGACUGCCCUUGGCAUCCACACUGUAGCAAAACUUCAGGAGCUUGAAUCUUGGACUCAUAAUUUCACAACUGAGAAGGGUUCAUCCACACUCUUGGAACUAUAUCCAUUGGAACCCUUAAGAAAUAUCAAAGAUUAUCAGAAAAAGGAUGGGAAGAGCAGUCUCUAAGAGCAGAAAUUACUCACAAGAGCAAAACAGAGGAAGGUAAGAAAAAUAAAUUCAGACUGGGAAUAAACAUUAUGUUAUUAUGAUUAUGUUACAAAUCUUGACCAGUUAAGAAUAGUCACCUGCCUAAAAGGAUUAAUCAAUCUUCCUUUCUGGUUAGUGUAUAUUCUGUUCAGACACUGCAAGGGUUAUCUGAGUGGACUUGUCCCCCGAAUGCCCAUAACCUUUGGCUGCAGCUUGUUCAAUAGACAUGUGUAAUUAUUAUACAUUUGAGUUAGUCACAUCAUGUCAUGUUGGCUGAGACAUGAAGUAAUUUCUAAUUGGAUCAGUUACAAACCUUUCUUUUUCCUGCUUAAACCAUAAUACCUGCAGUUUAUAUAUGUUUUAUUUCCUAUGAGCUGUUAAUGAGGAUGAUGUUCUUCUUCAGAGUUGAAAUAAAGGAAAAGUUGUCUUAAAUAAGCACCUGGAGGCCUAAGAAAUUUCAUGGAACUGUUAGGGUCUAGAGAUAGGGCCUAAUCACUGUAGAAGAAGUAUCUUAAAAUAGUUAAGUUUCACACACCCUAACCACCAUGUUUUGUGUAAGUAGGAAAAUGCCAGUAACUAAACUGAAAUGUAACAUUUGGGAAGAUCCUAGGAUUGCUGCAUUUGUCAAUGGAUAAUGUAAGUAGCAGUUCAUCAACCUGCAAAACACUGUACCACACUCACUGAUACACAGUUACAACCUAGAAACCAUUAGCAAUCUAGUGUGCAAGUCAAGAGACUGUCCUUUCUUUCAGUCAUUACUCCCCUCUCUGAUUUCUAACAGCAUAGGUUAGUUUUGCCUGCUUUUGUUUUUAAGUAAAUGGAACCAUUUUCUAUGUACUCUUUUGACUCUGACUUUCCUUCAUUAUUGGUUGUGAGAUUCACCCAUUGCAUAGUUUGAUUUUAAAUCUUGCUACUUUCAGGCUCUGUGACUUAGGGAAGUUGCUGUAGAAUCAGGGUAACAAUGGCUAAUUCUUAGGAGUGAGGGCGAGAAUGAAAUAAGAUAACAGGAGAAGACCUCUCAGCCACUGCCCAUUUCUAACAGAUGCCCUUUCCAUCUCUCCUCCGACAGCCUCUUCUGUCCCACCCUACUCCUUGACCUUAAUACCAUGCUGCAGCUUCCUCUGGCUCUUCUCACUUGGGGCUGGGCAUCUGCAGCAGUGGACAGGCAACACCCAGGCUCCUGGCAGAUCUGCUUUCCCUAAUUAAUAGGCUUCAUAAAGAACUCUGAGGAUAAAAAUAAAAGCCAUAGUCUGAAAGAAACUACUUGCUGCAAAUCACGUAAUUGGUGAAGAACUUGUAUCCAGAAUGUAAAAAGAGACCUCUCAAAACUCAAAAAGAAGAGAAUAAAUACACAACUCAAAACUUGGGCAAAGAAUUUGAACAAACAUUUCACCAAAGGAGGUAUGUGGAUGACAAACACAUGAAAAUAUGCUCAACAUCGUAAGUCAUUAAGAAAAUGCAAAUUAAAACUACAGUGAAAUGCCACUGCACAUCUAUUAGAAGAGCUAAAAUUACAAAAAAAACAAAACAAAAAA